GACGAACGCUGGCGGCGUGCUUAACACAUGCGAGUCGAACGGAAAGGCCUGCUUUCCCUUGUGGAUUGCGGGUACUCGAGUGGCGAACGGGUGAGUAACACGUGAGUGAUCUGCCCCCAACUUGGGUAUAAGCCUGGGAAACUGGGUCUAAUUCCCGAUAGGACUGCAGGGUGGUGCCUGUGGUGGAAAACGAUUUUCUAGUGGUUGGGGAUGAGCUCGCGGCCUAUCAGCUUGUUGGUGGGGUAAUGGCCUACCAAGGCGGCGACGGGUAGCCGGCCUGGGAGGGUGGACGGCCACAUUGGGACUGGGAGACGGCCCAGACUCCGACGGGAGGCAGCAGUGGGGAAUAGUGCACAAUGGGCGGAAGCCUGAUGCAGCGACGCCGCGUGGGGGAUGACGGCCUUCGGGUUGUAAACUCCUUUCGACCGCGAGGAAGCCACCUGGUUGGAAGGGUGGUGACGGUAGUGGUAGAAGAAGCACCGGCUAACUACGUG
rnacentral:rRNA from 1 species